rnacentral:rRNA from 1 species
GACGAACGCUGGCGGCGUGCUUAACACAUGCAAGUCGAACGGAAAGGCCCCUUUGGGGGUACUCGAGUGGCGAACGGGUGAGUAACACGUGAGUAACCUGCCCUUGACUUCGGGAUAACUUCAGGAAACUGGGGCUAAUACCGGAUAGGAAUCCUUGCUGCAUGGUGGGGGUUGGAAAGCUUCGGCGGUUUUGGAUGGACUCGCGGCUUAUCUGCUUGUUGGUGGGGUAGUGGCUUACCAAGGCUUUGACGGGUAGCCGGCCUGAGAGGGCGACCGGCCACAUUGGGACUGAGAUGCGGCCCAGACUCCUACGGGAGGCAGAAGUGGGGAAUAUUGCACAAUGGGCGGAAGCCUGAUGCAGCAACGCCGCGUGCGGGAUGACGGCCUUCGGGUUGUAAACCGCUUUCAGCAGGGGCGAAGCUUGUGGUGACGGUACCUGCAGAAGAAGCACCGGCUAACUACGUG